AAGCUCGUAGUUGAAUUUCGGGGUUCUACCGUUGGUCGGGCUAACCAGUCUGUACUAGCGUGUAGAAUUCCUACCUUCUGGGGAACCAUCAUGUUAUUAAUUUAGCGUGGUGGGAAACCAGGACCUUUACCUUGAAAAAAUUAGAGUGUUCAAAGCAGGCUUACGUCUGAAUACACUAGCAUGGAAUAAUAAAAUAGGACGGUGGUCCUGUUUUGUUGGUUUCUGAAUCACCGUAAUGAUUAAUAGGGAUAGUUGGG
rnacentral:rRNA from 1 species